GACGAACGCUGGCGGCGUGCCUAAUACAUGCAAGUAGGACGCAGUUGCGAACGGGUGAGUAACGCGUAGGUAACUACCUAUUAGAGGGGGAUAACUAUUGGAAACGAUAGCUAAUACCGCAUACUAGUAGAUGGACCUGCGUUGUAUUAGCUAGUAGGUAGGGUAAUGGCCUACCUAGGCAACGAUACAUAGCCGACCUGGGAGGGUGAUCGGCCAACACGGGACUGGGGCACGGCCCAGGACCCGUCGGGGGGGAGCCGUAGGGGAACUUCGGGAAUUGGGGGAACCCUGACCGAGCAACGCCGCGUGAGUGAAGAAGGUUUUCGGAUCGUAAAGCUCUGUUGUUAAGGAAGCGGUACUUAACCAGAAAGGGACGGCUAACUACGUGCCAGCAGCCGCGGUAAUUC
rnacentral:rRNA from 1 species